GUCGGGGAAAUUUGGACUACCACUGGAAAAUGAGGGUAUAUUGGAUAGGGACAGAAAUUUUGCCUUGCAACAGGCCACCUACGGACCCCUCAAAGAGUUGUUGCAAGGGUUCUUAACGUGCAAAGAGCGUGGCACUCUCCUUACACGAGGCAUCGGAUUUAACGUCCCCAAUCUGACCGGACGUGACUGCGAACUUGAUACAUCCCGCACAGCCAAACGGACGCCCCACUUCGGCAAGCGUUUUACUGCCUGUCGGAAGAAGACCAAGUGACCAUAUUUCUAUUCCCCAGUCACCC
rnacentral:lncRNA from 1 species